AAUAUUGGACAAUGGGCGAAAGCCUGAUCCAGCCAUGCCGCGUGUGUGAAGCAGGUCUNCGGAUUNUNAAGCACUUCACGUUGGGNAGCAGGGUUGUAGGUUAAUACCCUGCAAUUUUGAAGUUACCAACAGAAUAAGCUCCUGCUAACUCUGUGCUAGCAGCCGCGGUAAUACAGAGGGUGCAAGCGUUAAUCGGAAUUACCGGGCGUAAAGCGCGCGUAGGGGGUUUGUUAAGUUGGAAGUGAAAGCCCCGGGCUCAACCUGGGAACUGCUUUCAAAACUGACGAGCUAGAGUACGGUAGAGGGUAGUGGAAUUUCCUGUGUAGCGGUGAAAUGCGUAGAUAUAGGAAGGAACAUCAGUGGCGAAGGCGACUACCUGGACUGAUACUGACACUGAGGUGCGAAAGCGUAGGGAGCAAACAGG
rnacentral:rRNA from 1 species